GUUGGGACUCAUUUCUUCAGGGUGGACUUGAGUAAUGGAAGGGGUGUCAGGGUGAGCUGACUAUGGUUCCAGCAUUAAAUGCUGGAAAACAGGCUAGGGGGAAUUAGAAAUUAAGCAAAGUGUUUAAGGCAGAAGAGCAGUCUUUUCAGGAUAUCAGAGCCAUUUAGAAAUAGAAAAAUAGAGGAUUUCGGUGGGUAAAUAAUUUAAGGGAUUGAAGACCGUGUCCCAGUUAGAAGCUGACAGGCUCUGACUCAAGAAAUGUGGAGGAGGUCCAUUCACGACCACCUUCAGGAAGCAGUGUCAUAGAAGCUGGAAUCACCAAAGACACUGAUAAUUACAACUUUGAACAGAAGGGAAGCAGCAAAGCUUCUAAAAUUUCAGGCUGUGGCAAUGUCCAGAGAGAACUGUCUGUUGGCAUUGCCACCUUUGGCAUCUACCAGGUAAGACCUAUAGUAGCCCACUGGCCAGAUG
rnacentral:lncRNA from 1 species